rnacentral:rRNA from 1 species
GGAUUAGGCAUGCAAGUCGAACGGGACUCUUUGGGUAGCAAUAUCACGAGAGUUCAGUGGCGAAAGGGUGAGUAACGCGCGGGCAAUCUACCUCGAAGUUGGGAAUAGCUCGGGGAAACCUGGGAUAAUUCCGAAUGUGGUCGCUUCCGGCAUCGGGAGCUGUCUAAAGCUGGGGACCGCAAGGCCUGGCGCUACGAGAUGAGCCCACGUCCUAUCAGCUUGUUGGUGAGGUAACGGCUCACCAAGGCUUACGGGUAGCUGGUCUGAGAGGAUGGUCAGCCACACUGGGACUGAGACACUGCCCAGACUCCUACGGGAGGCUGCAGUCGAGAAUCAUUCGCAAUGGGCGCAAGCCUGACGAUGCGACGCCGCGUGCAGGAUGAAGGCCUUCGGGUUGUAAACUGCUGUGAUGGGGGAGCAACGGGCGGAGUGUUAAUAACACUUCGCAGUGAUAGUACCCCAAGAGGAAGCCACGGCUAACUCUGUGCCAGCAGCCGCGGUAAUACAGAGGUGGCAAGCGUUGUUCGGAUUUACUGGGCGUAAAGGGCGCGUAGGCGGGCUGCCGCGUCCGGGGUGAAAUCCCACGGCUCAACCGUGGAACGGCCUCGGAUACGGGCGGUCUCGAGGGAGGUAGGGGCACGCGGAACUGUGGGUGGAGCGGUGAAAUGCGUUGAUAUCCACAGGAACUCCGGUGGCGAAGGCGGCGUGCUGGACCUCAUCUGACGCUGAGGCGCGAAAGCCAGGGGAGCAAACGGGAUUAGAUACCCCGGUAGUCCUGGCCCUAAACGUUGGGUGCUAGGUAGUAGACCAGACAUGGGUUUACUGCCGGAGCAAAAGUGCUAAGUACCCCGCCUGGGGAGUAUGGUCGCAAGGCUGAAACUCAAAGGAAUUGACGGGGGCUCACACAAGCGGUGGAGCAUGUGGCUUAAUUCGAGGCUACGCGAAGAACCUUAUCCUGGACUUGACAUGUUCGAAAGAGGCAGCAGGUAGAACCCGGAAACGGGAACGAACGGUAUCCAACCCGGAAGCUGCCACAGGUGCUGCAUGGCUGUCGUCAGCUCGUGUCGUGAGAUGUCGGGUUAAGUCCCAUAACGAGCGAAACCCUUACCCUCAGUUGCCAACGGCUCGGCCGGGGACUCUGGGGGGACUGCCGGUGUCAAACCGGAGGAAGGUGGGAUGACGUCAAGUCCUCAUGGCCUUUAUGUCCAGGGCUGCACACGUGCUACAAUGGCGUGGUACAAAGUGACGCGAGGUCGCGAGACGGAGCUAAUCACAAAAAACACGCCCCAGUUCAGAUCGCAGGCUGCAACUCGCCUGCGUGAAGUCGGAAUCGCUAGUAAUCGCGGGUCAGCAACACCGCGGUGAAUGUGUUCCUGAGCCUUGUACACACCGCCCGU